rnacentral:misc_RNA from 1 species
GAUGAAGAACGUAGCGAAAUGCGAUACGUAAUGUGAAUUGCAGAAUUCAGUGAAUCAUCGAGUCUUUGAACGCACAUUGCGCCCUCUGGUAUUCCGGGGGGCAUGCCUGUCCGAGCGUCAUUGCUGCCCUCAAGCACGGCUUGUGUGUUGGGCCUCCGUCCUCCUCCCGGGGGACGGGCCCGAAAGGCAGCGGCGGCACCGCGUCCGGUCCUCGAGCGUAUGGGGCUUCGUCACCCGCUCUUGUAGGCCCGGCCGGCGCUUGCCGACACAUCAAUCUUUUUUCCAGGUUGACCUCGGAUCAGGUAGGGAUACCCGCUGAACUUAAGCAUAUAAUAAGCGGAGGA